rnacentral:rRNA from 1 species
AUUGAACGCUGGCGGCAGGCUUAACACAUGCAAGUCGAGCGAGCGGCGGACGGGUGAGUAAUGUCUGGGAAACUGCCUGAUGGAGGGGGAUAACUACUGGAAACGGUAGCUAAUACCGCAUACCAUCAGAUGUGCCCAGAUGGGAUUAGCUAGUAGGUGGGGUAAUGGCUCACCUAGGCGACGAUCCCUAGCUGGUCUUAGAGGAUGACCAGCCAAACGGGAACUGAGACACGGUACAGACUCCAAAGGGAGGCAGCAGAGGGGAAUAUUGCACAAUGGGCGAAAGCCUGAUGCAGACAUGCGGCGUGUGUGAAGAAGGCCUUCGGGUGGUAAAGGACUUUAAGCGAGGAGGCGUUACUCGCAGAAGAAGCACCGGCUAACUCCGUGCCAGCAGCCGCGGUAAUUC